CCCGUGUGUGAGGUCACGAGUCUUCAUGUCUGUGAUUCUUCAGAUCAAACUUUCCUUCCAGCUUCUGCAGACGGUGAAACGAUGCCGGUUCUGCCGGUGAGGAGCCGAGCGGUUCUCCUCCAUCCUCUCAGAAAGACGAGGAAACCUUCAGUCUCCUCCUGUUCGAGAACAGCAGCUCUUUGCUGCACAGAACCGGACCAGAACCUGCAGACGGGCCGGGGGGGUUGAUGGUCAAUUCAAGCUGAACUAACCGACUUUCAGUCAGUUCUCUGAGGGGGCGGAGCUCCUCCAUGCACUGCGGAACAGCGCCCCCGCUGGCAGGUGAGCGUAUCUGCAGAGGCGUCAAGCUGGAGCAGCAGGUUUCCCGUCCGAAGCUUCAGCUGCUGAUGGAAACAGGAAAACUCAUGAGUCAGAACCUUUCAUCUGGACAGCUGGAAGCUGGAGAAGCGCGUGAACUUUGAGAGAAUCGACUCAUUGAUUAUUUAGAUCCUGUUCAGAAGACGUUUUUCUUCAGUUAGUUUAGUGAAAUUCUCCUCUCGCUCAUGGACUUCCUGUCAUACGGAACAGCAGGAAGUGAACGUCUGAACGUUUUCUAGAUGAAAGUUUCAAACCAAACUGUUGGUUUGUUUCUUUAAUCAUUGAAACUUUGUUGUUUCCACAGUUUGGAUUCAUUUGCUUUAGUUUGAGCAUUUAUGAGGUCCAAAUGGUUCUUCUCCUCACACUGUUCAUUCUGGAGGUCCAAAUGGUUCUUCUCCUCACACUGUUCAUCCAUGAGGUCCAAAUGGUUCUUCUCCUCUCACUGUUCAUCCAUGAGGUCCAAAUGUGGCUCCAUCACAGGAUCGUGGGUGUGGUCCUGCUGGAGGCGGGGCUUCCUGAUGAGCGGUCACCACGGUAAACAGGAGAUGAGCUGCGUCUGAGGCUCCUCCCCUUCUGUUGAAGGAGGGGUUAUUGACCCUUUAACACUUGAGAUGUUUCUGAUCUUCGUAAGUAUUCAAGCGUUUACUGGAUGGAUGUGAAUCAGCUGAUUCUGACAUCAGAUUUGAAUGAAUGAAUUUCCCCCCAGGGGAUUAAUAAAGUAUAUUGAUUGAUUGAUUGAUUGAUUUGCAUCAUUACUAACGUUAAGUCCUGACGGCGAGGAGCCUCUUUCUCACUUCAGAAUCCACUGGAAUACCGUGAAUACGUAAACAGCUGUUGAGUUCGGAGGUCAGCAGACGGUGAACCGUGGAGCUACAGCGGACAUGUACUCGUGGUGCUCCUCUGACCUUCCUUUGAUCCAUCGUCUUCUCCGUCCAGCUGCAGCUCUGGCUCCACUGUUAUUCCAACAGAUGCCUUCAAAGACGUUCAUCACGCCGGCGGCGUUCACACCAGACCAGGUCUGACAUGGAGGAGAUUCUUCUUCUUUAGUGUUUUUAUCGUUUAUUGGAGCCAGUCCUCUACAUUGGAGAGUCACAGCGAAUCCUGCAGAUCUUGUUUUCACAGCUCUGGUCCUAGAAAUGUUCAUCUAUGAAUCCAACGGACACGAUCAUCACGUCUCCGUAGUGAUGGUCACCUGAUACUUCUGCGCUUUCAAGCGGACGCCGCCCAAAUCUGAGUCCCUGAUUGGUCACAUUUUUGUGUUGCUGCAGUUCAGUGUGAAAAUGUGUUGACACCUCGUCUAGUCUUAGUGACGAGUGAGUGCAGACUCGUAUGGACUAGAGUUUCAGGCGUCCAGAACGCUCGUGAUCGGGGUCGCUACGCACGUUUAAAGUCCAGUCUCGGGCCACGCCCACAAAUCGGACGUUCAUUGAUCACCUGCUGACAGUUCAGCUGGUUGAACAUUUUCACGCAGGACUGGGACCAAUCAGGGACUCCGGUUUGGUCGGGACAAUAUGUGGGUCCUCCUCAAAACAUGGAAGUAUCAACUGCUGUGAACAUGAUCAUGAAGAAACAUUUGGAGCUGCACUGAUUGGAUCAUGAAGAAGACAUUUAGGAACAGAGCUGUGAAAACAAAGUCUGGAGCAACAUGGGAGGGAUUUCACGGCGGGACUUGUCACUCCGAGUCUCUUCCUGUUACAGGAGGAAAACGAGGUCUGGGUAAACGUUUAGACAAAUAAAAUAAAAAUAAAGGCUAAAUACAUGAAAUAAUGGUUAAAGAAAUAGCUUAUUUUUUAAUUUUAUUUAUUUAAACUUUAAGUAAAUAAAAUAAAAACAUUAAGGUUAAA